rnacentral:tRNA from 1 species
GGGGCUAGGGCUCAGUGGUAGAGCACUCGCCUGGCACACGUGAGGCCUGGUUCAAUACUCAGCACCA